rnacentral:rRNA from 1 species
UACAGAGGGGGCAAGCGUUGUUCGGAAUUACUGGGCGUAAAGGGCGCGUAGGCGGCCUUCUAAGUCGAACGUGAAAUCCCUCGGCUCAACCGGGGAACUGCGUCCGAUACUGGUGGGCUCGAAUCCGGGAGAGGGAUGUGGAAUUCCAGGUGUAGCGGUGAAAUGCGUAGAUAUCUGGAGGAACACCGGUGGCGAAGGCGGCAUCCUGGACCGGUAUUGACGCUGAUGCGCGAAAGCCAGGGGAGCAAACGGG